UACGUAGGGUGCGAGCGUUAAUCGGAAUUACUGGGCGUAAAGCGUGCGCAGGCGGUUAUGUAAGACAGUUGUGAAAUCCCCGGGCUCAACCUGGGAAUUGCAUCUGUGACUGCAUAGCUAGAGUACGGUAGAGGGGGAUGGAAUUCCGCGUGUAGCAGUGAAAUGCGUAGAUAUGCGGAGGAACACCGAUGGCGAAGGCAAUCCCCCUGGACCUGUACUGACGCUCAUGCACGAAAAGCGUGGGGGAGCAAACAGG
rnacentral:rRNA from 1 species